AUUGAACGCUGGCGGCAUGCCUUACACAUGCAAGUCGAACGGUAACAGGUCUUCAGAUGCUGACGAGUGGCGAACGGGUGAGUAAUACAUCGGAACGUGCCCGAGAGUGGGGGAUAACGAGGCGAAAGCUUUGCUAAUACCGCAUACGAUCUCAGGAUGAAAGCAGGGGACCGCAAGGCCUUGCGCUCACGGAGCGGCCGAUGGCAGAUUAGGUAGUUGGUGGGAUAAAAGCUUACCAAGCCGACGAUCUGUAGCUGGUCUGAGAGGACGACCAGCCACACUGGGACUGAGACACGGCUCAGACUCCUACGGGAGGCAGCAGUGGGGAAUUUUGGACAAUGGGCGCAAGCCUGAUCCAGCCAUGCCGCGUGCAGGAUGAAGGCCUUCGGGUUGUAAACUGCUUUUGUACGGAACGAAAAGACUCUGGUUAAUACCUGGGGUCCAUGACGGUACCGUAAGAAUAAGCACCGGCUAACUACGUGCCAGCAGCCGCAGUAACAC
rnacentral:rRNA from 1 species